ensembl:lncRNA
UUUUUUUUUUUUUUUAAUAAAAUGUGAGGAGGAGAGAGAGAAUUUGGUCUGGCUUUUAUAGCUCAACACUUUGUCCCAACCGCAGUCAUUUCUUACAAGGUUUCCAGUAGAGGACCUUCAGACUCUUUUCUCCUAAAACCUGAGGCUUAAAAUUCAAAGCCAGCAUCAGACUGAGCAUUCCUGCUUGAUACAUCCUCUUUUUUUCUUAUCCUACCUACACUUCGCUUCUGCUGAGAUGCAGGAGCAGUGUUAGUGCCUAUCUGCACAACCCCAGCAAGGCUUCACCACUGGAAGAACCCAUGGAGAGCCUAACCAGGCUUCCAUUUUUCCCAGCUGAACAAGGUUUCUGUGUGUUGCCUCCCCCCAAAUUCAUACCCUACCUGCACCACAAGCUUGUAGACAACCUGACUUGGGCUCAGCUUCCUUCUAGCAGCAGAAACACUGAAUGUAUGGGGGUGCCAGUGCCAGCUCACUCAGGGCAGUGUUUUCUCAAGGCCCAGACCUGCUGGGAACUUACUAUGUACAUGAAAAAUGUCACUCCAGUCUUAAUCAUGGCUAAAUGCUGUAGAUUGUAUUGUGAAGGACUUGAUCUGUUUACUAUGAAACCAUUGUAAUUUCUGCUUCCAUAUUUCCUUUACAAAAGUAUUCCUGGAUAUUACACGAUAACCUUAUUAUGUGAAAGUACAUGCAAACUGUGGAGUAUAUAUAUUGUGUCAUUAUGUGGGGUCCAUGGAUGGUACGCUGUGCUCCACGGCUCACGCCAGAGCAAACUUCAGCUGUUAAAUCCUGAAAGACACCUUGAAGCACAAUUUCCUCACCACUGAUUUGCCAUAUAAUUUACCACGCUCAGCCUUUCCUGUUUUCUUUCAUGUGCAGUCUGGUUAUACGAAAACCUGGUUACAGCAGUAAUUUUGUGAGGAUAAAUAGAUUUUUUCCACAUUUCCAUUCAUUUAACUUAUCUGAACGUCUGCAGUUCAUCCAGGCAUAUCUGAAAGUUUGAAGUACAGUUCAAAACUUUAAAACUUACAAGCUUUUAGGCUUUAAUUUCUUUUUUUUUUUUUUUUUUUUUUGAGUGGUUUAUGGUGCCUUUCUUGCUUUUUAUAUGAAGCCUCCUGUCAGCCUAAGCAUACACCCGCCUUUAGGUUCAGCUCAGGAGCACGACAUGAGGCACGUGGCCACAUGUGUCAGUAACAAAACUCUCCCCCCCUCCUUGAUGGGACAGAAAACUAAAGGCAUCAUGAAUUGGCCUCCAAUCUUCCACCUUUGCCUGCAUGAGCCAAUCACUGCCUCCCACUGAGCCGGGAAGGAGGCAGUGGGAGAACUUAGCUUUGGCUCUGACUGUACACAUCCAGUAACAGAAGCAGGGCCUCGGGUUUUGCUGAUAAUUUAUCUCACAGAAACUUGGUAUUUUUGCCUUAAAUGACAUGCUUGAGUCCUUCUAAUUUUAAGUUAAUUUAUUUAAUACAAUGUUGUGCACAAAAGAAUGAGUUCUAUAAAUUAUGUAUGAAAAUGUUAAUGUCUUUACAAAGUAAUAAUAAAUCCAGAAUAUCCUAUCUUUUCAAAUCAUGGUUUAAAAACCUGAUUUUUUUUUUCUUUUAUGCUCACCAUUAUUAUUUUUGUAGCUGCAAGUCUUAUCAUACAGGAUUUUUUUUAACAUAAUAUUGAUAGAAAAUAGAAAGAGUAGUGACUAUAUGAAAUUAUGGAGAGGAAGAAUUGUUUGUUUGGAUUUUUAUAAGCUUUGCUCAUAUUUCAUCAUUGGGAGUUUCCUGUUUCUGCGCUCUCUCUUUAAUCGACAGUGUCAUGACUGACAGUCAUUCAUUGGUUUCACAAAAGAAAGACCUGUCUGGCUUUUCAAGUCUUGUCUUGAGCUGCUUAUUCAAUUCAAGCUCAUGAUAGCUAAUAAGAAUUUCUUAUGACUAGGGACAGAGGACAAAAUUUCUUCUGACUUGCAAUCCAUUAGAGGGUUGCUGAAGAGAGAAUUUGAACCUAGUAGGAGCUUCAGGAAUUAAGCUUUAUCCAAAUAACUGUUUUCUGAUCAGUAUGUUUCAUGUAUUUGACUGAAGAGAGAACCGAAUAGUUUUGAUGAUUAUUAUUUCUUUAAGAAUUUGUAUUUGCUCCUGGCUUAUAUGAUCUAUACUUUUUAUUUAAAUAUGAAUAUAGUGUUUUAGCCUAGGGUUCAAGAUUGCAAAGAUCAUACACUUUUAUUCACAGUGCCCACAGUUGUUACAUAUUUUCAAAUUAAUCCUAUGUAAAAUGACUGCUCUCAUUAUAGUAUGGUGAUGAGCAAUUCACCUGCUCUUCUGUGGUAAGUCAAAUCAUACUGAAUUGCUGAUCUAUAGUAGAACAUCUGAAGUACAGCAGUAUUUCUGCAUUGAGACCUGCAGUCCUUACUCAAGCAAAAAUUCUACCAAAUUCAGUAAGAAUUUUUCUUGAAUCGGGAUCUCAGGUUCAAAUCCUUACUUUGUUGGGCAUCUGUUUAAAGUGAAAAUGGUAAUAUUCCAAUUAUUUCCUGAGGAAAGUAAUACUUAACUGAAUUUACCCAUGUCACAUUGACUAUAUAAGAGAUAACGCACAAAGUACUGAUGUUAAAAGGGAAGAAGGGGCAUUUUUAAAAAGUACAUAGGAAAGGAAAAUAAUCAGAACAGAGGAGUAAGGAGGAAAAGAAAUACAACAGCAAAGGAAUUUAAAAAAAAAAAAAAAAAAGUUUAAAGACCUGAGGCUAAAUUCGUCCUUGGAUGGCUUCACUGACUUCAAUGAACUCUCUACCCAACUGGGUGAAGUUCAGCCUUCGCUGAGAUAACCAGGUUCAGUUCCGCUGACCUUAAAGGAACUGGACCCACCUAUACCAGGAAUGAACUUGCCUCUCUGGGCCAACUUUUGUCCUGACUCACACGUCAUGCAAUCCUUUUGGAUUAUUUACAGAAUCAUUAGGUUUGAAUGAGAUACAGGUCAGAAAAGAAUUUGCCCCAGAUACUUCUGCUUCACUUUUUUUUUUUUUUUCAAGUGUGUUAAUCGACUUAAUUCAAAUGGAUUACAACAUCACACAAAGUGCUGUCACUGUCUAAAAACUGGUUUUUGAAAUAAGAAUUGUGCCCUGCAGGGUCACUGGAAGCAUGUAAUAUUUUCCUGCUUGUUCAUCUGGAUGCAGAUGUGGCUGUACCCUGAGCUAUGCACAGGACAAUUCCAGACAUACCCAACAUCACCUGCUAUUGGAAGCAUUUUUUACUUCUUUGCGAGAUAAAACGCCAUUUUGGCGACAGGGUAAGGACAUAUGAAGGCUGUUUCCACUGACCCUGCAGGGGCAUUAGCCAGUACAUUACAAUGUUAAUUGUAACUUCUUGACAAAGUUGAAUCCAUAUUGUUGUUAAUAAAAAUCAUUUGGAAAGUACC